GCCUGGGUGGCUCAGUCUGUUAAGCGUCUGACUUCAGCUCAGGUCAUGAUCUUGGGUUCAUGAGUUCAAGCCCCAUGUCAGGCU
rnacentral:tRNA from 1 species